rnacentral:rRNA from 1 species
UACGUAGGGUGCAAGCGUUAAUCGGAAUUACUGGGCGUAAAGCGUGCGCAGGCGGUUUGGUAAGACAGAUGUGAAAUCCCCGGGCUCAACCUGGGAAUUGCAUUUGUGACUGCCCCGACUAGAGUGUGUCAGAGGGGGGUAGAAUUCCACGUGUAGCAGUGAAAUGCGUAGAGAUGUGGAGGAAUACCGAUGGCGAAGGCAGCCCCCUGGGAUAACACUGACGCUCAUGCACGAA